rnacentral:rRNA from 1 species
UCGAGGAUCUUCGGCAAUGGGCGCAAGCCUGACCGAGCGAGGCCGCGUGGGCGACGAAGGCCUUCGGGUUGUAAAGCCCUGUCGAGGGGGAGAAAAGCCCGCAAGGGUGUGAUCUAUCCCUGGAGGAAGCACGGGCUAAGUUCGUGCCAGCAGCCGCGGUAAGACGAACCGUGCGAACGUUGUUCGGAAUCACUGGGCUUAAAGGGCGCGUAGGCGGGCUAUCAAGUCCGGGGUGAAAUCCUCCAGCUCAACUGGAGAACGGCCUCGGAUACUGAUGGUCUCGAGGAGGAUAGGGGCACACGGAACUGUGGGUGGAGCGGUGAAAUGCGUUGAUAUCCAUAGGAACUCCGGUGGCGAAAGCGGUGUGCUGGAUCCUUUCUGACGCUGAGGCGCGAAAGCCAGGGGAGCAAACG